GACAGAGGUGCCGAGCGUUAGGCGGAAUCACUGGGCUUAAAGCGUGUGUAGGCGGGUCCGUAAGUACCUUGUGAAAUCCCGUGGCUCAACCAUGGAACUGCUUGGUAUACUGCGGAUCUUGAGCCACCUAGGGGGCAAGUGGAACAAACGGUGGAGCGGUGAAAUGCGUAGAUAUCGUUUGGAACGCCAAUGGUGAAAACAACUUGCUGGGGGUGUGCUGACGCUGAGACACGAAAGCCAGGGGAGCAAACGGG
rnacentral:rRNA from 1 species